CAAACGGCAUCUUUGGUUUAAUACAGAUAAAAAAUAAACCUAUUUUUGUUUAGUGGUUAAGCUUGUUACGUUAAUCCUUAAAUGCUCAAAGUCCGGAGUAAUCUAAACGAAGUGACUUAUUGUGUCCCAAGUAAAAAAGCAAUCUCUAUACAAAGAGGCUUCAUUUUAUGUUUGGUGCAGAGAGAGUAGAACUGUAGAAUAUUCACAUAAAUACAUACAUAUAUGUUCACAGUUUGAGAUUGUGAUGUA
rnacentral:misc_RNA from 1 species